rnacentral:rRNA from 1 species
GAGAGUUUGAUCCUGGCUCAGGACGAACGCUGGCGGCGUGCUUAACACAUGCAAGUCGAACGGUGAACCUUGGAGCUUGCUUCGAGGGGAUCAGUGGCGAACGGGUGAGUAACACGUGAGUAACCUGCCCCGGACUCUGGAAUAAGCGCUGGAAACGGCGUCUAAUACCGGAUACGAGACGCAACCGCAUGGUUAGUGUCUGGAAAGUUUUUCGGUCUGGGAUGGACUCGCGGCCUAUCAGCUUGUUGGUGAGGUAAUGGCUCACCAAGGCGACGACGGGUAGCCGGCCUGAGAGGGCGACCGGCCACACUGGGACUGAGACACGGCCCAGACUCCUACGGGAGGCAGCAGUGGGGAAUAUUGCACAAUGGGCGAAAGCCUGAUGCAGCGACGCCGCGUGAGGGAUGACGGCCUUCGGGUUGUAAACCUCUUUCAGCAGGGAAGAAGCGAAAGUGACGGUACCUGCAGAAGAAGCACCGGCUAACUACGUGCCAGCAGCCGCGGUAAUACGUAGGGUGCGAGCGUUGUCCGGAAUUAUUGGGCGUAAAGAGCUUGUAGGCGGUUUGUCGCGUCUGCUGUGAAAAUCCGGGGCUCAACCCCGGACUUGCAGUGGGUACGGGCAGACUAGAGUGUGGUAGGGGAGACUGGAAUUCCUGGUGUAGCGGUGAAAUGCGCAGAUAUCAGGAGGAACACCGAUGGCGAAGGCAGGUCUCUGGGCCACUACUGACGCUGAGAAGCGAAAGCAUGGGGAGCGAACAGGAUUAGAUACCCUGGUAGUCCAUGCCGUAAACGUUGGGCGCUAGGUGUGGGACUCAUUCCACGAGUUCCGUGCCGCAGCUAACGCAUU